GCAGCCUGCAACUCGGCUGCAUGAAGCCGGAAUCGCUAGUAAUCGCGGAUCAGAAUGCCGCGGUGAAUACGUUCCCGGGUCUUGUACACACCGCCCGUCACACCAUGGGAGUCGGGAAUGCCCGAAGUCGGUGAGCUAACGAAAGAGGCAGCCGCCGAAGGCAGGCCCGGUAACUGGGGUGAAGUCGUAACAAGGUAUC
rnacentral:rRNA from 1 species